rnacentral:lncRNA from 1 species
AGACGCGCCGCGCAGCAGGUCGGAGCAGCCUCCCCGGGAGGAUGUCCAGCGGCAGCGCUCCUCGCUCCAGCCCUUGGGGAUCUUCCGCUGAGGCAUUGAAGGCAGGAAGAAGGGGUCCGUCAUCGGCUCGCCGGGCUGCGCGCCACCUCUGCUAUCUUGCGGAAAGAGGAGCGGGGAGGGAGUUCUCACAAGAUCUGAUGGUUUAAGCGUGGCAGUUUCCCCUGAGCUCUCCUUCCUGCUGGUAUGUAAGGCGUGCUUUGCUUCCUCUUCACCUUCCGCCAUGAUUGUACAUUUCCUGAGGCCUCCCCAGCCAUGCAGAACUGCAUACAACUUAGGAUUCAUAACUACAUAUAUACGGAUAGAAGUGCAUGAACAGAAAAUCUGCCCUUCUGGAAUACCAAAUGCAAAAUUAAAGUGACUACAAGCAGAAUUUGGAGAAAAAAAUAAAAGAUGCAAUAUAGUUUUUAAAAUCAUUGUUAAAAUAUAAUGAGUCUGUACUUUGCUUAAACAAUAAAAAAGUCUUCGAUUUAUA